GACGAACGCUGGCGGCGUGCCUAAUACAUGCAAGUAGAACGCACAGUUUAUACCGUAGCUUGCUACACCAUAGACUGUGAGUUGCGAACGGGUGAGUAACGCGUAGGUAACCUGCCUGGUAGCGGGGGAUAACUAUUGGAAACGAUAGCUAAUACCGCAUAAUAUUGAUUAUUGCAUGAUAAUUAAUUGAAAGGUGCAAUUGCACCACUACCAGAUGGACCUGCGUUGUAUUAGCUAGUAGGUGAGGUAACGGCUCACCUAGGCGACGAUACAUAGCCGACCUGAGAGGGUGAUCGGCCACACUGGGACUGAGACACGGCCCAGACUCCUACGGGAGGCAGCAGUAGGGAAGCUUCGGCAAUGGACGAAAGUCUGACCGAGCAACGCCGCGUGAGUGAAGAAGGUUUUCGGAUCGUAAAGCUCUGUUGUAAGAGAAGAACGGGUGUGAGAGUGGAAAGUUCACACUGUGACGGUAUCUUACCAGAAAGGGACGGCUAACUACGUG
rnacentral:rRNA from 1 species